rnacentral:lncRNA from 1 species
UCGUAACGACUCUGAAUCCAUUCAGCAUCAGUCAACUUGGGACUUUGAGGGUGCUAUUUUUCUUUUGUUUCUUUCUUUCCUUUUUCUUUCUUUUGAUUUUUGAUUUUUUUUUUUUUGAUUUCUUUUGAUUUUGCACCCUCCUCUUUCUUUUUUUUUUCCUUUUUUUUUAAAUGCCCCAGUUGGCUGUUCUGCUGAUUCUCGAGAUGCAGCUGAGUGAUCUUCUUUUCUUGCUCAAGAAGUCGGGAAAUCUC